rnacentral:rRNA from 1 species
UACGUAGGGCGCAAGCGUUAUCCGGAAUUAUUGGGCGUAAAGAGCUCGUAGGCGGUUUGUCGCGUCUGCCGUGAAAGUCCGGGGCUCAACUCCGGAUCUGCGGUGGGUACGGGCAGACUAGAGUGAUGUAGGGGAGACUGGAAUUCCUGGUGUAGCGGUGAAAUGCGCAGAUAUCAGGAGGAACACCGAUGGCGAAGGCAGGUCUCUGGGCAUUAACUGACGCUGAGGAGCGAAAGCAUGGGAGUGAACAGG